rnacentral:rRNA from 1 species
CAUCUAAGUACCCCGAGGAAAAGAAAUCAACCGAGAUUCCCCCAGUAGCGGCGAGCGAACGGGGAGGAGCCCAGAGCCUGAAUCAGCAUGUGUGUUAGUGGAAGCGUCUGGAAAGGCGCGCGAUACAGGGUGACAGCCCCGUACACAAAAGCGCAUGUGCUGUGAGCUCGAUGAGUAGGGCGGGACACGUGGUAUCCUGUCUGAAUAUGGGGGGACCAUCCUCCAAGGCUAAAUACUCCUGACUGACCGAUAGUGAACCAGUACCGUGAGGGAAAGGCGAAAAGAACCCCGGCGAGGGGAGUGAAAAAGAACCUGAAACCGUGUACGUACAAGCAGUGGGAGCACAGGUUUACCUGUGUGACUGCGUACCUUUUGUAUAAUGGGUCAGCGACUUAUAUUCUGUAGCAAGGUUAACCGAAUAGGGGAGCCGGAGGGAAACCGAGUCUUAAC